rnacentral:rRNA from 1 species
UACGGAGGAUGCAAGCGUUAUCCGGAAUGAUUGGGCGUAAAGCGUCCGCAGGUGGCUAUGUAAGUCUGCUGUUAAAGAGUGAGGCUCAACCUCAUAAGAGCAGUGGAAACUACAUAGCUAGAGUGCGUUCGGGGCAGAGGGAAUUCCUGGUGUAGCGGUGAAAUGCGUAGAUAUCAGGAAGAACACCGGUGGCGAAAGCGGCAUCCUGGACCAACACUGACGCUGAGGAGCGAAAGCCAGGGGAGCAAACGGG